UUCCAGGUGGCUCAGUUGGUAAAGAAUCUACCUGUGAUGCAGGAGAUGCAGGUUUGAUCCCUGUAUUGGGAA
rnacentral:tRNA from 1 species